rnacentral:rRNA from 1 species
GAUGAACGCUGGCGGCGUGCCUAAUACAUGCAAGUCGAGCGAACAGACGAGGAGCUUGCUCCUUUGACGUUAGCGGCGGACGGGUGAGUAACACGUAGGUAACCUACCUAUAAGACUGGGAUAACUUCGGGAAACCGGAGCUAAUACCGGAUAAUAUUUCGAACCGCAUGGUUCGAUAGUGAAAGAUGGCUUUGCUAUCACUUAUAGAUGGACCUGCGCCGUAUUAGCUAGUUGGUAAGGUAACGGCUUACCAAGGUAACGAUACGUAGCCGACCUGAGAGGGUGAUCGGCCACACUGGAACUGAGACACGGUCCAGACUCCUACGGGAGGCAGCAGUAGGGAAUCUUCCGCAAUGGGCGAAAGCCUGACGGAGCAACGCCGCGUGAGUGAUGAAGGUCUUCGGAUCGUAAAACUCUGUUAUUAGGGAAGAACAAACGUGUAAGUAACUGUGCACGUCUUGACGGUACCUAAUCAGAAAGCCACGGCUAACUACGUG